GGCCCGUAUCAUAUCAGGACCUGGCGGGAGUCAUGCUGCAGCUGGAGUCCAAAUCCAAUGCAUUGUGAUGGACUGAGUAAAUAGUCAAGUACUUAAAUAACUUGAAUCAGCAGGGAGAACACCAGUCUCCUCAUCUCUGACGUACAUGCAUUGACGUCACUGACUUAACACUGUUUGCACAGCAGGAAUUGUUCCCAAAUGAAAGAGCAGCGGUCCUGGAUCGAGUCUGUCUGUGGAUCCACAAUGCCACUCCUUGGUGACUUCACACAUAACUGUCGGUACAGAGGCUUUUCUAGUCAAGUAGAUGCGCUGCGUCACUGCAAAUCUCUAAUGGAGCAGUGUGGCUGGGGAUUUGAGCUGUCAUCCUCCCAGCUGAACUAAAGCUACCACCUACCAGCUUCAAACCUUUCAGCUGCUACUGCCCCUCCAUGAUAUAUGACCACGGGAUCCUGUUCAUCUCCUGUCAAUGCGUGUGAGUGGCUACUAUCUUUUCAAUAGACGUUCCAAAUGAUAUGGCCAUAACAGAUGCAGGUCAUGAAUCAAAGGUCUUAAACCACCCGGCUAGUUGAUCUGUUCCACAGGUGCUACUGUCCGAUCCACUCUGGAUACACAACAAGGAGUCACGACAAAGAAAUACACAGAUGGUCGACCCUGUUCUACUGUCCCAGGCUCGGCUUUCUGCUGUGCACUGUGUACCUGAUGCAUGUCUACAUCAGAGCCUUGUAUGGACCACACUGACUACGCCUGCCUCAUGUGAACUGAGCGAGUGAACGCAAUGACCCCGUCCAAUCAACAAAGCCUCAGAGGAAGGGGAGAAAAAUUCUGUACAGCAUAUCAAAGCAUAACUCAAGUGCCCUUUUAGUUGGCCCACCUCAAAUUAGAAAAGCAUAAAAGAAGAAAAAAAAAAAAAACUUGUGAGUGCUUGAAAAAUAAGGAUCACACAUGUUUUGAAUAUGCUGAAUUUUAAUUGAUAAUAAAUUGUGCUUUUGUAGACCCCAAACUAUGUAUUGAAGUGGUUAAAGGUGUUUUUUUAAUUGGACAUAAGCUGGAAAAUAAGAGGAGAAGAAAAAUAAUUGAUGGCUUUUGAGGUUGUUUUGAUAGUUGAACCAGUUUCCUCAGCUGAACUGUGGGUUGCACCUGCAAAUGCUAUAAAUUUCUCCACUAAAAUUACAGUAUUAUGUGUCUGGUUGCUUAAGGGACAUAUGCAAUGUAUAGCAAAGUCAUGCACUUAAUCAUGCUGUUGAGAAAUCAUUAGGGAACCAAAGAGACCCAUAGUGUUCUUGAAACACUUUGACCAUGCUUCAGUUCCAGUUUAUACUAAGUUGUACUCAAACUUCUUUCCUUGUGACCCUUAAAAAUCUAACGCUGGACCUGCUCACAAGUUAUGACCUCAUUUUAUGCACGAGUCUGCAGUCUGCAAAGCAAUGUAUUUACUCAAAAAAUGUGCUAAAUUCAUAUUUACUUAUUCAAAAGGUCAUUACAUUAAAAAUAACUACACAUGGGAGACAAUGCAUGAUGACAGUGGUUUAAUGAGUGAUGUGAAUUGUAUGCUUUGACUUUCAAAGUGAGAUCUCAACCCAUCUGCGACAUAUAUGUAUGCAGACGAUAACACAAACUGUGGCGCUGAAUUAAACGAGGAACUUGACACAAAUGGAAAAUGGAUCCUGGAAAACAAUCUGAUAAUUAAUACAUCUGAAACAAAAAGUAUCAUAUUUGGCUCAAGCUUGUCCCUAAAGA